rfam:Echinostoma caproni strain Egypt genome assembly, scaffold: ECPE_scaffold0004991
GGGGAUGUACCUCAGUGGUAGAGCGUUCGCUUUGCAUAUGAAAGGCCCCGGGUUCGAUCCCCGGCAUCUCCA